rnacentral:rRNA from 1 species
UACGUAGGGGGCAAGCGUUGUCCGGAUUUAUUGGGCGUAAAGAGCGUGUAGGCGGUUUGGUAGGUCCGUUGUGAAAACUCGAGGCUCAACCUCGAGACGCCGAUGGAAACCAUCAGACUAGAGUCCGGAAGAGGAGAGUGGGAAUUCCUGGUGUAGCGGUGAAAUGCGCAGAUAUCAGGAAGAACACCGUGGCUAAGGCGGCUCUCUAGUACGGUACUGA